rnacentral:rRNA from 1 species
CUUACCGGGUCCGGACACACUGAGGAUUGACAGGUAUUAUAUAGCGCGCUUGCGCGUCUAUUGUUAAAUAUGCUAGUCCUUUCAUGAUUAUGUGAUAGGUGGUGCAUGGCCGUUCUUAGUUCGUGGAGUGAUCUGUCUGCUUAAUUGCGUUUCAGAUAAGGAUCUAUAUUCUUUACAGAAGUGUUGCGUUGUGCAUUUGACCCCUCGUUCGCGAGUGCGUGUCUUUUCGCGCUCGCACGCUUUUUACAUUAGGUCCUGAAAGCAACGAACGUGACCGCAACCUCUUGUUGCCUCAUCUCCCUACUUUUUAGCACUUCGGUGUUAAUAAUUUCAUUGAGGCUUUCCAAAACUAGAGGGACCGCUGUCAACUUCUUAAACCAGAGGAAGGUUGCGGCAAUAACAGGUCUGUGAUGCCCUUAGAUGUUCCGGGCUGCACACGUGCUACAAUGAUUGUUGCAGUGAGCAUCUCAAUUUUUUACCUAACACCGCACACGUGAGU